UCAAGUUUGUUGAUGGAACCCAGGGGCUUUUAAGCACUCAGCCACAUCCCCAGCCCUUUUUAUAUUUUUAUUCUGAGACUUUGUCUUGAUAAGUUGCUGAGGAUGGUUUUGAAUUCCCAAUACUCCUGCCUCACCUCAUAAGCCCCUGGGAUCACAGGUGUGCAGUACUCCAUCCUGCUCUACAUUUAUUUUUAAUAUUGGGAUUCCUGGUUUCUUUCCAUUUGUGGAAAAGCAGAGCAGGUAUUUAAAUUUUCCUGAGUCCUCGGUUUCCCCUUUUGGAACCCAAACAAAUAAUCUUGUUUUUUAAAUUUUUUUUAGUUGUCAAUGUAACUUUAAUUUUAUUUAUAUGCGGUGCUGAGACUUGAACCCAGUGCCUCACACAUGCUAGGUAAGCGCUCUACCACUGAGCUACAACCCCAUCACAAAACAAAGAAUGUUGCACUAUUUUUUUAAAGAAAGAAAUAAGCUAAUAUAUAACUAUCCAGAACUUAAAGAGAAAUGUCCAUUGCAUUUAAAUGUAGGAUACUAGUUUUUCAUAGAUGAAUGCAUUCUGCUUUUGCAGGUUAUAAGAAGAAGCAGUGAGGAAGAAAAAGUUCUUUGUUUGGUCCGUGUGCGUACAGGCCACCACUGUGAAACUGCUGUGAUGGUGGUGUUCAUCAUGAUAUGGGACGCCUUAUGUCCUCCAAUUGCCGAUAGUUUGUAUCAGGAGAUUGUUGAGAGUCUACGGUCAUACAAUGGUCAUCCGACAGACCGAAGAUGUACCUUCAAUGAAAAGUAAUCAAAUCUGUUUUGUUCUGAUUUGACAGUCAGAUCCCUAUUAUAUAAUGGUAAAUUGUUAAUUAACUAACAACUAAGUAUACUGUAUGGGAAAAUAAUAUUUUAGGUAUUCUGGUAGAAUAAACAAAUAUUUUGUUAAACAGAAAUUAGUGUCAUUGAUAGGGCCAUUUUAGAAUAUUCUCCAAAUAAAUGCAGUGGGGAACAAUGCUAUUGAUUGAACCUAUUUCAUAUUAACCAAGCAUUCUAACAGUGUGCUCUAUCCCCAGCCCCUCAUAUUUUUUACCACUUUCUUCUUUUUUGAACCCAGAUAUGUUUUAAUUUUGAGACAGAUCUUGCUAAAUUGCUUAGGGUCUUGCUAAAUUUCUGGGGCUAACCUUAAGAUUGUGAUCUCCUGCCUCAACCUUCCAGAUUGCCAGGUAUUCAAACAUGCACAGGAAAGUAGGUAUAGCACAAAGAAAGGUACUUCAAAAGAAUUUGUAUCAUUUUGUAUUUGUUCUAUUCAAAAUAAGAGAAUAUUUGCUUUUACUCCUCUCCAGCCAUUGAUUAUGUUGUCAAAUUUGAAUUUUUGUCUAUUAAUGUCAUCAGCAUAAUUUUAAUUGCAUCUUAUUAUGAAC
rnacentral:lncRNA from 1 species